ACUAGCAAGUGCCCGGGAAAAUGGUGCCGCCCGGGGAACAACCGUGGGCUGCCGCUCAGCGCCACCCUUACCGGUAACCACGUGUGGAGUGGAGCCUCCGGCAGGAGGUAAAUAAGAAGUCCUGUCAGUGCCUCAUUAUCCUGGGAAGCAGUGGUAGCAGAACAUUGUAAGACCCUUUUGAAGUUUGAUGUGGCCGUGCCACUUCAUUUGAUCAACAAAAUGGGAGUGGAAGUGAUGAGAUCAGGGAUACAGUCAGCCAUGCACUGCCUUCCCGUUCCCCAACUUGGUAAUAACGAAAGUGUGUUCUGUGACGGAGCCUCCAGCAUCCUGCUUUCCUGUGUGACUAUGAACAGAGCCCUGUUGUGGCCUGAAUUAAGCAGGAAUAAGAAGUAAACCUCUUCUUUGUCUGUUUAUAAGAAAUAUCUUCCUUCUCUGAGGUUAAAAAAAUUAUACAUUUUUGAUAAUAGUUUUAGAGGUUUAUUUUUCAAAUAUAGGUCUUUAAUUUCUUUGUGAUUACUUUUAUAGACGGUGCAAUUCCUUUUUCUUUUUGUUUUUUCAUAUGGAGAGCCAGUCAUCCCAACACUAUUCAUUGACUCAUCUUGUAAUAGGGAAGAACAAAUCUGACUCCAUGUUGGAUCUGUUUCUUUUACUUUAACCUUCUAUUCUGUUGCUUUUGCUACAAGUUAAGAAUGUUGCCUAUAGCCUGAAAUACACAGGAUAGCCUAUUCUCAAAGCUCUGACCUUUAAAGAUAUAACGCUUUUCCAUUCAUAUAGAGAUAAAAAGUUGCACAACAGAGACUAAUAUUUGUCUUGUUGGAAGUUUAUAAGAACAUUGUGACCUGACCUACCUGGACAACUGCAAGAACAGAUUCCUGUACCAAGAAGUUUGCAACAACCAACCACACCCUCUCCCCUUUUAGUAUAAAAGAAGCUUGAAUUCUAACUCAGGUAAGAUGAUUUUUUGGGACGCUAGUCUACCAUCUUCUCAGUCUCCUGGCUUUCUGAAUAAAGUCGCUGUUCC